UACGUAGGGACCAAGCGUUGUUCGGAUUUACUGGGCGUAAAGGGCGCGUAGGCGGCAAUUCAAGUCAGCUGUGAAAUCUCCGAGCUUAACUCGGAACGGUCAGCUGAUACUGUUUUGCUAGAGUACAGAAGGGGCAAUCGGAAUUCUUGGUGUAGCGGUGAAAUGCGUAGAUAUCAAGAGGAACACCUGAGGUGAAGACGGGUUGCUGGGCUGAUACUGACGCUGAGGCGCGAAAGCGUGGGGAGCGAACAGG
rnacentral:rRNA from 1 species